UACGUAGGGGGCAAGCGUUGUCCGGAUUUACUGGGCGUAAAGGGCGCGUAGGCGGCCACGACAAGUCACUUGUGAAAUCUCCGGGCUUAACUCGGAAAGGUCAAGUGAUACUGUCGGGCUAGAGUACAGAAGGGGCAACUGGAAUUCCUGGUGUAGCGGUGAAAUGCGUAGAUACCAGGAGGAACACCGGUGGCGAAGGCGGCUUCCUGGCCGAGUACUGACACUCAUGCACGAAAGCGUGGGGAGCAAACGGG
rnacentral:rRNA from 1 species